UGCAGCCCAGCAAGAGCCGCCUGGCGCCUAUUCGACAUCAGAACGCUGUGGGGUCGGUCGUGUGGGGGGGGGCUGUUGCAGAAAUCUACGGUGGGUCGAAUGAUGAGGAUCGAUGCCGCAACGUACACGGUGCAAACGCCGUCGAGUAAAAUUCAACCCAGAAAACACACCGACUCCACACGGACUGAGCCGGACUCCAACCCACUUCCGAAUCCACAGUCCGGGGGGGGCUGUGAAACACCAGUGUUACCGGCUGCACCGUUUGUGUUUUAUGGCUCUUUGCAAUAAAAGAAGAAAUCGAAGAAGGGUCCAAAUCCCACCUCCUGCCGUAGUACCCUUGAUUGAGAGCGGCCCUGGCCAAGGUAAACCGGUGGUGAGACGAGGCGACGCGAGAACCGCUCUGGAUCCGUCAUCGCUCCGUUCGGCCGAUCCGGGCGCAGGGAGACGACUGCGGGGACUCGGGGAUGGAGGCAGAGCGAUUCUUUUUUCCACCAAGUGAAAAAGCAUCUUUAUUUUGUUCUUGUGAUGCCGCAGGAACAAGAUCCCGGUGGACUCUCUUCCUUCUGAAUUGACAUGGACGUGGAAGAGGGACAUUAUAGGGGGUCACAUUAGUUUUGAUAGCUUGACUACCUUAGAAUGGCCUCCCAUCAUCUCCACAACAUCAAAUUUCAUGGGCCCGAUCCAGUUUCACCACUUGUGUGUACGCACAGUUGAACCGCACCUGUUUUCCCACCCGCUUUCACACAGAUUCCUUAAAUUAUUGCCAGUUCCAC
rnacentral:lncRNA from 1 species